rnacentral:lncRNA from 13 species
ACCAAAUUGCACGAUUUGACUCCUCAGCUCUCUCGCCCAAGGCAUUAACGCUCAUUUAUUUUCACAGUGGCUCCCGAAGAUGCUGCUGCUGGCAACUGGACUAUGAUCAUCAUCAACACCAGAGCUGGAAUUCUCAGAAUGUCCCUUCUCUGGCAAAUGCUUUAUAUGCAUCACGUCAAGGCUUUUUUUUUUGUUAUUGGUCUCCUUUUACAGAGGAUGAACUGAAGCUUGAAGGAAUCAUAGGUCUUACUCAAGGUGACAAGGCCCAAACUGGAAAUGGACUAAGUCACACACAGGCACGCCCAGCUCUGCUGACUCUGCUUCCAUUCUUCUUUGAUAUGUCUCACAGAAGUUUCCAACUGCGCUCAGAUGGAAAUCUCAGGAGCGCCUCAACAGCUUGGAUUCAUUUCCCAGGAACCAGUCAUCUGGGCCAGUGA